rnacentral:rRNA from 1 species
UACGUAGGGACCAAGCGUUGUUCGGAUUUACUGGGCGUAAAGGGCGCGUAGGCGGUCGUGACAAGUCACUUGUGAAAUCUCCGGGCUUAACUCGGAAAGGUCAAGUGAUACUGUCGGACUAGAGUACAGAAGGGCAACUGGAAUUCUCGGUGUAGCGGUGAAAUGCGUAGAUAUCGAGAGGAACACCUGCGGCGAAGGCGGUUGCGUGGGCCGACACGUGACACUGAGGCGCGAAAGCCAGGGAGGCGAACGGG